AUGAGCGAGACUCUGUCCAACAAGAAGUUUAUCGAGGUGUUAAUCACUUUGUGGGCAAUAUGGUAUGCCCGGAGGAAAGCAAUUCAUGAGCAUGAAUUCCAAAGUCCAUUGUCGACGCAUCUAUUCAUCAGCAGAUACUUGGAGGAGCUUAAGGUGUUAGAUGUGCAGACCAAGAUCGGGCAUGGGGCAGCUCGGGCGGUGCCUCGAUGGGUUCCUCCGCUCACAGGACAUUGCAAGAUCAACGUCGACGAAGCUGUGACGAAGACGCAAUGCAGAGAGGCUGUUGGGGCCGUAUGCCGGGAUGAACAAGGGCGUUUCCAAGGGGCCUCGGCAGUGGUGUUUGAGGGCAUCUCUGAUGCAGAAACCCUGGAAGCACUUGCAUGUCGAGAAGCACUAGCGUUGAGUGAGGACCUGGACCUGAAAAGAGUACAUAUUGCUACUGACUGUCUGAGAGUCGUCCGGGAAAUCGAAGCACCAAAGAACCUUGGUGGACAUUGUAUGGUGUUUCAUGAGAUCAAAGAACGAAGCAAUUUAUUUAGGGCUUGUCUUUUUAGUCAUGAACAACGCGAAUGUAAUGGGGAGCCUCACAGACUAGCACGUAUGGCUACGUCUCUUGAUAUAGGUAGGCAUGUGUGGCUUGAUGCACCACCUGCUCAUUUAUGUAUCCCUGUAAACAUUGAACUUAAGCAAUAA
rnacentral:rRNA from 1 species